rnacentral:rRNA from 1 species
UACGGGGGGGGCAAGCGUUGUUCGGAAUUACUGGGCGUAAAGGGCGCGUAGGCGGUUUGCUAAGUUGAAUGUGAAAACUCUGGGCUUAACCCAGAGCCUGCAUUCAAUACUGGCAGGCUAGAGUUCUGGAGGGGAUAGCGGAAUUCCUGGUGUAGCGGUGAAAUGCGUAGAUAUCAGGAGGAACACCGGUGGCGAAGGCGGCUAUCUGGACAGAGUCUGACGCUGAGGCGCGAAAGCGUGGGGAGCAAACAGG